CUGGGUCUCCCCAGAUCUAACACCCCCACCCCGUGCCCCGAUCAGCGCGUAGCUGGCCCCGCAGAAGGAUCUGUCGGAGACUUUGCCCGGGAGCCAAGAGGCGAACAAGAGGGGGCGCGGCUCUUCGCAGAGUGACCUUGUCUGGCAUUCGAGUCUUCAGACUGCAUGCCAGCGACGGCCAUGGCCAAGCUGGGGCCACCAUGUCCCCUGGCGCCAAGUGUUGGACCAGAUCCCAGAUACACGGCACCUGCUUCCUUCUCAGCUGGCGCUGUACAGCAUUCCGCCCUCUGUCUGACGGGGCCGUCGUCACUGUCUCUAGUUCCUUCUUCGCCCUCCCGGGGAACCGAAACCCACGUGGACGCGUGGCGUGCUCAGACCUCGCUGAGG